rfam:Felis catus isolate Cinnamon breed Abyssinian chromosome D3, whole genome shotgun sequence.
GCCUGGGUGGCUCAGUUGGUUGAGCAUCUGACUUUGGCUCAGAUCAUGUUCUCAUGGCUCGUGGGUUUGAACCCCAUGUCAGGCU